rnacentral:rRNA from 1 species
UAGCCUACGGGACGCAGCAGUCGGGAAUAUUGCGCAAUGGAGGAAACUCUGACGCAGUGACGCCGCGUGCGGGAAGAAGGUUUUCGGAUUGUAAACUGCUUUAGACAGGGAAGAAAAAAGACAGUACCUGUAGAAUAAGCUCCGGCUAACUACGUGCCAGCAGCCGCGGUAAUACGUAGGAAGCAAGCGUUAUCCGGAUUUACUGGGUGUAAAGGGAGCGUAGACGGUAGAACAAGUCUGAAGUGAAAGCCCGCGGCUCAACUGCGGGACUGCUUUGGAAACUGUUCAACUGGAGUGCUGGAGAG